AUCUAGAUGACGAGUCUGAAAUAGGACCAAAUGCGCAUGCUGGAU
rnacentral:hammerhead_ribozyme from 1 species